GCCGAUGAUAGAUUUAAUCAACUUCAAUAAUUGAUUAUGAUCUAAUAAUAAUCUAUCACUAGACUAGAAGCACAAAUAAGACAGUUAGCUGAGUCUACCAUGAGGAGAGAACAGGUCAAUUGCCAAGCCAACCGAUACCAAAUCCUAGGAACAAUCCAUCCACCCACCAACCACCUAAACCUAGUCAUCAAUCCAAUGUCCCACCUA
rnacentral:lncRNA from 1 species